AACGAACGCUGGCGGCAUGCCUAGCACAUGCAAGUCGAACGAGACCUUCGGGUCUAGUGGCGCACGGGUGCGUAACGCGUGGGAACCUGCCCUUAGGUUCGGAAUAACUCCCCGAAAGGGGUGCUAAUACCGGAUAAUGUCUUCGGACCAAAGAUUUAUCGCCUUUGGAUGGGCCCGCGUUGGAUUAGCUAGUUGGUAGGGUAAAAGCCUACCAAGGCGACGAUCCAUAGCUGGUCUGAGAGGAUGAUCAGCCACACUGGGACUGAGACACGGCCCAGACUCCUACGGGAGGCAGCAGUGGGGAAUAUUGGAAAAUGGGCGAAAGCCUGAUCCAGCAAUGCCGCGUGAGUGAUGAAGGCCUUAGGGUUGUAAAGCUCUUUUACCCGGGAUGAUAAUGACAGUACCGGGAGAAUAAGCUCCGGCUAACUCCGUG
rnacentral:rRNA from 1 species